AUUGAACGCUGGCGGCAGGCCUAACACAUGCAAGUCGAACGAGUGGCGGACGGGUGAGUAAUGUCUGGGAAACUGCCCGAUGGAGGGGGAUAACUACUGGAAACGGUAGCUAAUACCGCAUACCAUCGGAUGUGCCCAGAUGGGAUUAGCUAGUAGGUGGGGUAACGGCUCACCUAGGCGACGAUCCCUAGCUGGUCUGAGAGGAUGACCAGCCACACUGGAACUGAUCAAUGGUCAAGACGCUGACGGGAGGCAGCAUGGGGGAAUAUGGCACAAGGGGCGCAGCCCUGAGGCAGCAAUGCGGCGUGUAGGAAGAAGGCCUUCGGGUUGUAAAGUAUUUUCAGCGAGGAGGCGUUACUCGCAGAAUAAGCACCGGCUAACUCCGUGCCAGCAGCCGCGGUAAUAC
rnacentral:rRNA from 1 species